AGAAGUAGGGAACUUCUGUUCACAUGACUUCAAAGAUGCCUAGAGAGAUGUUCUCACACAGAGAACUGAGGUUGCAAGCGGAAAAACUUCCUGGCUGUCUGGAUCUGAUAUGUAGUUGUUCCCUCUUUUCCUUCUUAAUGUAAACAAAUCGGGUUGUUUAAUUGCCAAGAGAGCCUCAACCAGCCUCAGAAAAAUGUGUGGACCAAGAAUUGAGGGGAAAUUUGUAAUCACCGAUGAUGAAAGCCUCAACAGAACAGCAGCAAGCUGCAGGAAGCCCAGCAUACUGCUCCAUUUCUCCUUCUGGCUGCUUUGCCUGUGAAGAACAUAAAGAUGUUACUUCAUGCUUCAUUUUCCAAUCUUCAUUAGCUGGCUGAAGAAAUCAGUAAAUGGUACUCUACCCUUUUUCUCCAGAUUGGGUGUAUUUAUCUGAGAGAAGUUCUGGUUGUAACACUGAACUGAUGAGUUGUAAACAAAUCUUGCUAUUCUGAAGCAUCUUUUCAUUACAUAAUAGAAUUCUAUGAUUAAAAUUAUUUUCAGUAUUUCCCAUGAUGAGGAGUUUCAGAAAGCUUAACAUGCAAAAUUUGAUUAGUUAAAUUUAAAGAAAAGAUCUGGAAAGGGAUCUAUAUUUUUAUGGGUUUUUUUUGUUUGUUUGUUUGUUAUUUACACUUUUACAGAGUUAUAUGGUAUAAAGGAAAAUGUUUAUUAGGAGAGAUAACCACUAUUAAAUUUCCUUCAACUUCAAACGUUUUCUCUCCUAUUUGUGUUCUAGUGAAACAGCAAUACAGCAUGAGUUUUUUUGUUUUCCUAUUCUAUCAAUUUUGAUAAACAUUUUUGACCAAUUGCAGAUAUUUGUAAUAGCUUGGAACCAAGUGAUUUUCAGGAGCACAGCUGAUAGGUUUCUUUCCAAGUAAGCAAAGAACAGUCAUUAUCAGAAACCAGGCAAGGCAUUUCUUACACUUCUUUUUUUCUAAAUUUCAUGUCACAUUAUUUGUGUCCAAUCCUCGUAGUCUAAAAUAUAAUACUUACCCUGAUGGAAUAUUGCCAAAGUAAGGUCAACCUCACACAUUUUGUGGCCAAGAUAUUUCUUAGUGAAAAAUACUAAUGCACAGAAUCAAUGUUCAAGGCAACCUAAUUAUUAAAAAAUGCUGUGUGACAGCUCAGUCCCUGGCAUUAAUGAAAAUCAUGGAAUACAAUUUCAUGCUUUCUUUUAAAAAUUCCUCCCUACGUAGAUAAGCAUAGGUAGUGUCAUGGUUUUGUUAACCAAGCACAAGUUUUACUCAAAUCUUAUGUGCUAUAUAGUACUAAUAACGUGAAAUCCUUUUCCUAGGGGAGAAGAUAGGCUAUGCCUGAUGUAAGAGUUUGAUUAAAUAACAGUUUUCUGAUACUGAGCUUUAUUAGAUAAUUCUAGGGCUUUUUGCAGCAAAAUUAUUCUUUACUAAGUGGUUUUCCAUAUAAAGUGAGGUAAAAAAAUGUAUCGUAAAUCAGCUGAAGCUAAAAGAAAAUUAACAGUCUAUGAAUUGAAUUGACUUGUAAGCCACAGAUUAAUUAACAAGAAAAAAAAAGAUUUUUAAAAUUCCAUUAGUUACAGAUUAUUUAUUUUCCAGCAUUUGUGAACUUCUGAAAUUAUGUUAUUUUGAUAACAGAGAUGAUUUUUUUUUAUUAUGAGUAUUUAUUUCUAUCCAUGAGUUUGUUUGUGUAUUAGAAUCGUGUUAAUCAUCACGACAAAUAACUUUGUAGUUCUAAUUUAUUACAAUUUUCUGAUAUCAUAGAACUGUCAUUGGCCUAUCAAUAUCAUUUAAACUAUUAAAUAAAGCACAGGGACUGCUAUAGAUCGCAUUCUCAGAGCAUUCUGCACGCUCCACUAGCAGAGACACUGACCUAGCUAUUUCAAUGUAGAACAUUUUAAAACGGUUUUAGUCAACAAAGAGGCCACAUAUUUAAUGCCUUUGUCCCUACUCCUGUUUCCUGGUUGGUGUUUGAUUGGCAGAGUCACAGAGUGGAAGAGGCAGGCGGACACCUGCGCCCGAACCCUGUCCAAUGGGGCCAGCUGCUGUAGGAUACUCGUGACUGUGUCCAGUUGGGUUUUGAAAUUCCAUGGAUGAAGAUUCCACAACAUCCCUGGGAAACCUGCUCAAGUGUUUUACUGUGCUCACUGCAAAAAAUGCUUUUUUCAAUAAAUCUGGUACAUUAUACACUUC
rnacentral:lncRNA from 1 species